rfam:Paenibacillus sabinae T27, complete genome.
GUUCUCAAAUGGCUGAAUUCCGACAAUGGGAACGGGGGAACCAAUGGUGAAUGCGGCUUUCGAUCUGAUGCUGCCGCUCACUUGGGGUGAAUCCUUGCUGCGUGCUGUAAAGCCGCUCUGGCAAGGUAGGGCAAUCUCGCUGCCCGAAUCCGUCAGCUAACCCCGUAAGCCUCGUAGAGAGAGGAU